rnacentral:piRNA from 1 species
GAAGAGAAGGAACAGAAGAAAGG